UGUGAAGCCCAGAACAGAAGAGGACGUCAUAACUCCAUCUUACAUCUGAUUGUUGUGGCAGGGAAUUCAUCAAUAAUAAUGAAUAUCAUCAGGUUGACUCUGGUGGUCUUGAUGCUGAUUACUCUGCUUCUCCUGAAUCUGUGGAUGAGGAAGAAGAAAACUCUGAGGUCCACCACAGAACCAAAUGAACCUAUAGAGUUAAACUCUGAUCCUGUGUAUGAGAACAUCUCAGACUUUAAGAGCGUCACUGCAGCACAGACAGAAGACACAGAGCAGCAGGAAGACAUGGUGUGAAGUCCAGUCAGAUGCAGUUGAACCAGACUCAUGGAAACAAAGUAGGACGACUGAAAUAUCAACGCAGAGAUCGAAGCUGUGGAGGAAGUGGAUCCAUUUACCUACAACUCCAAACGUUUUCCUUUUCAGUUUCCAGUAGCAGCAGCAGGGUGGAGUCAGCAGCACAGACAGCAGCCGCAUGUAGCAGAAAGUUUAGAAGAAGGUGGUGUUGGCAGGUUGAACUGAAUCAUGUCGACGUUUCAGACGUGAUUUAUUGUUUAGAUCAGCGGAUAGUCAGGUUGUCUGUGACUUAUCUUACUGCUUAAACUAUAAUGUAAGCUUAUUAUUUCCAGUUAGUUAUAUUAGUUAGUUAUAUUACAGAAUGUGAGGACUGAACUGUGAAGUUUUUAUGGAAAAUGUUAUUUUGAACUGAACAAAAUAAACAACUUCUGUGUUUGCA